CCACCUGUUAGUCAUCAAAUGAGCUGCAGGCGUCAGUCUGAGUCCUGACCUCUGGCUACAUGUUGCAUCUGCUCCUCACUGCUCUUCUGUUUUGCUGAGUCUUCUAAAAAUGUCAACUCCAGUCCUUUACAGGAAGCUGAGAAAGAUGACUGGAUCUCCAUCCGUCUAACCCAGAGACUUUAAACGGGCUGUUGUUCACGAACAAUGCAAUAGUGAUGGGAGACAUUGUUUUGCCACCUUAGUCCAGCAUAGAGGGGCUGAGUGAAUGUGGUCUGGACUCUGUGGAGGAGAGUCAUGGUUUCAGAGACGCUGUAGAAAGACAGAAUACCUGCACUGUGAUCCAGGUACACUCCUACUCUGGAGGACUCAGGGCCUGAGACGGGAGUUUGGACAUUGUUGUAAAAAAAUGUGUAACUGUUGUUGAUACAAUCUAACGCCCAAGAUUUGUCAUUUAGUCCAAAUCUACAUUCAUCCAACCCCCCUGCUCUGCUGAUAAACUUGUACUGCUAAUCAUAAUCUCCACCUCCCAGUAACAAUGUCCAGUCAGACUCUCGCUGACCACCAUAAUCUCACGCUCCAUGGCUUUGGCUCCAUGUUGCCAUUUGGUGAUCUGGUGUGGGUUCCCUUCAGCUACACCCUGCAGGCCUAUUACCUGGUCAGCGCUCUGGCAGCCCUCCUCACACUCAAUCAUAAGGAACCAAGUCACUGAGCAUCUUGCUUUGAUUAAAUAACUGCAGUUGUUGUCUUUCGUUUUUGUUACGUUAUCUUGAGGACACGUAUAGCUACCAGUGUUGGGAAAGAU